GAGUUUGAUCUUGGCUCAGAACGAACGCUGGCGGCAUGCCUAACACAUGCAAGUCGAACGAGAUCUUCGGAUCUAGUGGCGCACGGGUGCAUAACGCGUGGGAAUCUGCCCUUGGGUGCGGAAUAACUUCUCGAAAGGGAUGCUAAUACCGCAUAAUGUCGUAAGACCAAAGAUUUAUCGCCCAAGGAUGAGCCCGCGUAAGAUUAGCUAGUUGGUGGGGUAAAAAGCCUACCAAGGCGACGAUCUUUAGCUGGUCUGAGAGGAUGAUCAGCCACACUGGGACUGAGACACGGCCCAGACUCCUACGGGAGGCAGCAGUGGGGAAUAUUGGACAAUGGGCGAAAGCCUGAUCCAGCAAUGCCGCGUGAGUGAUGAAGGCCCUAGGGUUGUAAAGCUCUUUACCCGGGAUGAUAAUGACAGUACCGGGAGAAUAAGCUCCGGCUAACUCCGUGCCAGCCGCCGCAGUAAC
rnacentral:rRNA from 1 species